rnacentral:rRNA from 1 species
GGGUUGUGAGGUUAAGCGACUAAGCGUACACGGUGGAUGCCCUGGCAGUCAGAGGCGAUGAAGGACGUGCUAAUCUGCGAAAAGCGUCGGUAAGGUGAUAUGAACCGUUACAGCCGGCGAUGUCCGAAUGGGGAAACCCAGUGUGAUUCGUCACACUAUCGUUAACUGAAUACAUAGGUUAACGAGGCGA